CUGUGCAGUUUACUCUCUUGAGUGCCACAUGUGUGCCACAGAGUGCAUGUGGUGGUUCAGAGGACAAUGAACAG